rnacentral:other from 1 species
GAUUCCCUGGGCUAUUCGCCAGCCAGUUAGUCCUGGAGCCGAUUCAAACCGAUAUGGAGGUCUCCAGCAGACGCAGGUGUGCAGGUCCGCUCGACGGAAAGCCCGACGCGUCACGGAGUCCGCCACCUUGAACCACCGGGUUCAAGGGCGACGCCGGCAGCGGUAGUCUCGGGGAAUCC